rnacentral:rRNA from 1 species
UCUCUCUGAAUCUGCGUACGGCUCCGCAAACCAGUUGUACACCCAAGCACAGUCCCGCCCGGCUUCAGCAAUGGGGCCGGGCAUUAUAUGGAUAACCGUGGUAAUUCUGAGGCUAAUACAUGACAAAAACCUGCCGAGCCGGGGUAACCUAGCGAAGCGGGGGGCGCGCGGCAAAAUUGCUGGAAAACCACACGAAAGAACGCACGUUCAGACCGCUGCAACGGGGAUAGGGCCUCACGGCUUCGUUCCUAGCGGCCUAUGCAUCGGGCUUCUGACCUAUCAACUAGACGGCAGCAUAAGGGACAUGCUAUGGUGACAACGGGUACAGAGGAUUAGGGUUCGAUCCUGGAGAGUGGGCCUGAGAGAUU